UUCCUUCUAAGUGUCGUGGUUGAAUUCCAUCCCUUAAUUUAAAGGAGCAAGUUAUCCCUGUUCAACUAUUACUGGGCCCCAAUUAUGGUGCCACAUGGGCAAUUUGAGCUUGCUGAAAAGAUUUUUUCUUUAAAGCGUAUGUACCAAGCAUUAUUACAUACAUUUAACCAUUUAAAUGAAGGGUUUGUCGUUUAAUCCUGAAUUCUUGGAACAGAAUAUAAUGAAUACUACUUGAUUCCAAUAUAAAUAACUGCAAAAAGGAUUAUUACUGAGUUUUAUUGGAAUGAUUCGUUGUUAUAAAGCGUUAAGUACCAUCAGCUGAUUCUUGGCAAACAAAAAGUUUACAAUGCUUGCAACUUGAGGGUUGCCUUGAAUGGAUGGUUAUUUUACAAGUAAUAUCAGGUGGAAUUGGAUUUGAAUCACGAACAAGAACAAUUUUGGUACCCUAAGGAAAUUUCAAUCUAUGCUUUGAUGACUGGGGAUUUAACAACACUUCCAUGUUUUACGUAUUUAUUUAGUAAUUUAUUUAUAUAUUUGUGGUCCAUUCCUUAAUAUUUUGUAUAAAUUUUACUGCUAUACACUUACUUUCGUUAUCAUACAAUUAUUUUGUUUUAGAAAAUUGAAAAGCUAGUAUAUAUACAUAUAUGGUGAUAAUAGAUUUGGAGUAGAAAUUAAAGAAGAAUUGAAGUGCAUUACUAAUUAAGGCAUAAUAAGAAAUGUUACGCAAUUUCUCCAUUACUAGCCAUUUCUGCAGUUCUAAAUGUUAAACUCUAGGCACAGCUUAUAUGAUUAAAAUUGAUUAACAAUAAUCGAUUCUCAGUAUAAUUUGGAAUAAGAAGAGUAUGGUCAUAUGAGUUUCUUACCAAUAAAACGGUUGUAUUAAAAUCUCAAAGUAUCCAAAAAGCUUUGCGUUUUUUAACAUAGUAAAUAUACUACACCUACACUCAAGUUCAAAAUGACGAGAAACACUUAAUUAUAGACUUUUGUGAGACUGUGGAUAAAAAUUAAUAUAAUGAUCAAGCUGAAACACUAAAAAUAUUUAUUUGGGGUACUACAAAUACUGUAUGGUAGUAUUUAUUCAAAGUCUGUCAUUAACACUAGAUCCUAUACACUGUGCUUAGAUUUUUUUAUAAUUUGGAAUUUCAGUAAUAAUUUACCAAACCAUCAUAAAAUUACAAACACUUCUCGAUUAGGUUUUGGUGUAUUUUAUAGAUUCACACCAUUAUUUAUUUAUUGUUUAUUUAUUUAUUUAUUUAAUCCACAAAAAUACUAGGA
rnacentral:lncRNA from 1 species